UGCGCAGGCGGUUACUUAAGUCAGGUGUGAAAGCCCUGGGCUUAACCUAGGAAUUGCGCUUGAGACUGGGUAGCUUGGAGUGUGGCAGAGGGAGGUGGAAUUCCACGUGUAGCAGUGAAAUGCGUAGAGAUGUGGAGGAACACCGAUGGCGAAGGCAGCCUCCUGGGCCAGCACUGACGCUCAUGCACGAAAGCGUGGGGAGCAAACAGGAUUAGAUACCCUGGUAGUCCACGCCCUAAACGAUGUCAACUGGUUGUUGGUGGGGUUAAACCCAUUAGUAACGAAGCUAACGCGUGAAGUUGACCGCCUGGGGAGUACGGCCGCAAGGUUAAA
rnacentral:rRNA from 1 species